GAGUUUGAUCGUGGCUCAGGAUGAACGCUGGCGGCGUGCCUAACACAUGCAAGUCGAACGAAGCAAUCGGGAUGAAGUUUUCGGAUGGAUUCCUGGUUGACUGAGUGGCGGACGGGUGAGUAACGCGUGGAUAACCUGCCUCACACUGGGGGAUAACAGUUAGAAAUGGCUGCUAAUACCGCAUAAGCGCACAGUACCGCAUGGUACGUGUGAAAAACCCAGGUGGUGUGAGAUGGAUCCGCGUCUGAUUAGCCAGUU
rnacentral:rRNA from 1 species